rnacentral:rRNA from 1 species
UACGUAGGGUGCAAGCGUUAAUCGGAAUACUGGGCGUAAAGCGUGCGCAGGCGGUUAUGUAAGACAGGUGUGAAAUCCCCGGGCUUAACCUGGGGAACUGCAUCUGUGACUGCAUAGCUAGAGUACGGCAGAGGGGGAUGGAAUUCCGCGUGUAGCAGUGAAAUGCGUAGAUAUGCGGAGGAACACCGAUGGCGAAGGCAAUCCCCCUGGGCCUGUACUGACGCUCAUGCACGAAAGCGUGGGGAGCAAACAGG